GAAGGAGAGGAAACAUUUGAUUCUUCGCUUCUUGGGCUUGCAGAUGAAGUUUUGGAGGAUCGUGUUGCCGAUGAUGAUGUGAUCCUGAUAAAAGGGACCAGAACCACAAGUGCAAGGUGUGAAUGACUACAUGCUUGAUGAGAUGGAGCGAGCUCUGUGUGAUGCUUUAGCAUCUUUAAGAGCUCAGUUGAGUCCAAUAUGGGUUCCUGGUUGUGGUGCAGUUGAGGCUGCUUUGUCUCUGCAUUUGGAGUGUCUUGAAACAACUUUAGGUUCUUGAGAAUUUGCAACUGCAGAGUUCUCUGAAUCACUUCUGAUUAUACCAAAGUGAAUGCUGCAAAGGAUGCAACUAAGUUGGUUUCAAAAUGUUGGGCAUACCACCAUACUGCAUAAAGGCUAAGGCAGAUUACCAGCAUUAUCAAGCAUGGAGUUAGAACUGUCCAGGGGAACCAUCCACAACAACUUAGAAUCUGGGUUUAUCGAGCUUGCGAUGAGCAAAGUGAAGAUUUUACAGACAACGUGAUCAAGGUUGUUGAAGAUGAACAUGAAAAUGAAGAACAAGAUUACCUAGUCUCAAACUCUUUAAGACAUAACACAAGCUACAGUUUUUCUUAGCUUGUACAUGCAUUGGUGCCGUGAAACUGGAGGAAGGGGGGCUAUUCCAUUUCUCUGUUUUCCUCCCCUGCACCAAAACACUAGUCCCCUUGGGCUCUUGUAAACAAACUGCCUAGCUCUUGCUAGAAACAUGAGGGGCUUAUUUUGGAUUUAAUAUUGGUGAUUUACAUUGAAAUAGCUUGUGACUUGAGCAUAAAUUAUUGGUUAAAGUUUAGCUUAAUUGCUACCAUCUAUCCAUUACACAGUGAGAAAACAUUGCAUCAGUUACACGGGUCUUAUUAAUUGGGGUUCUGGGGGGGAUCUCUAUCAGAUCUUGUGAUUGAGCUGCAGCAAUCCCAUUCUAAAUUAUUUUGGUUUCUUGAUGAAUUAGUUGUUGGGGGCAGGUUGGUCCUGGGGUUUUUGUGCCCUAGCUUGCAACCUUAAACCAAUCUAAAACCCCAGUUUUGAAUUCCUUGCUUAACCAUAAGGGUCUUACCCAGAGCUUAUACUACCCUGAAACUCAAAAAAAUGUGAUUUAAUAAAAUGAGAACACUCUGGAGCAGGCUUUUAAUUUUCUGGCAUAGGAGCCAUGUAUGCACACGACCAGGUUGAGAUCUUUUGCCAAAAAAGAAAAAAUAAAUAAAGAUCUACUUGUCUACAAUCUACAUUUUCUUUAGCCCAUUAAACAUGUCAUGUAGCACAAUUGCACGUCAUUGAUAAAUUCCAUACUGACAUUACUUUUUUUUGCUAGAAAUGUUGGGAUCCGAUUCCUCUACUGUGGAAUAGAGGCAGCAACUCAGAUCCAAUGCCCUGGAGCUUCCCGAAAUGAAACCCAACGCAUAAGACUAGAUACAAAUUCCUGGUCUGUGCGUCUAUAUUUGCAACAUGGCUGGUUAGAUGGGGCUGAAAUUCUGUUGAUAGGUAGACACUAAGGUCCCCUGCAAUCACAUGUCAAAUUUCAGUUCAAAUGGAGUUUGCCAAAUGGGAAGUAGCAAAACAAAGUAUUGAAAAUUUUGGAGAGAUCGAUCCAAUAGCAGUUGGUUUGAUAGAAGGUAUGCAUGGGCAUACACAGGGACGCAUACAAGACAUGGGAGACCAUCAAAUUUAACAUGUGGCUAAUCAAGUGAAUUUCCUCUUUGUCCAAUGGUCAGAAUGGCCACCUCGCAUUCCAUGUGGCACAAAUAUGUGUGCUAGACCAGGUUAGUUGCUGGUGGCUGGGCAUUUUAGAGGCUGCUUUGUCUGUGUACUUGGGAGUGUCUUGCUACAACAAUUUGCAGCUGCAGAGUUCUCUGAAUCCCUUCUGAUUAUUCCAAAGGUCUUCACUCUUCGGCGAAUGCUGCAAAGGAUGCAAUUUGGUAUGGGGUUAGACCUUUCCAGGGGAACCAUCCACAAGAUCUCAGAAGCAGGGGUUAUCGAGCCAGCAAUGACCAAAGGAAGAUUUUACAGUUUGCUACCAAAACUUCGUUACAAAUUUGUGUAUAGACAACAUGAUCAAGGUUGUGAAAGAUGGACGUGGAAAUGGAGAGUAGGACUCACAACAGAAGUUACAGUUUUGCUCAGUUCAUGCAUGCGUUGGUGCUGUGAAACAGAUGAGUCUCACAAUAUGUGUAUAUCCCCGCAUUAUUUGUGCAAAAGAGAACAGUAUUGAACAUACUCCAAAGCUCUUCUAGGCUCUCUCCAGUACAAACAAAGAGAAUACUGAAGCUCUUUCCUAACGAGAGAAUACAUCUUCAAUAUUCCUUAAGAAGAGAGAACCCACCCACUUUACACUUGGAGGAUUAACAUACCCUUCUUAUUUUCCAACUAAAAGGCUUCAAAAGUGCAGCAAAAUCAAGAAGUUGAAAGAUCUCGCAUUGUUAUAGAGAGGGCAAAUCCAAUUAUGGACUUCCUAGCCAAAAGUGCAGUAAAAUCAAGAUCCUCGAAUGAGAUGGUUUCCCUUGCUAGUCAUAUUAGCGAAGAGCUGGCCAUUGAUGCAAUGUCUAGACCGAGAUUCAGAUUCCAAUGAUUUGUGUAGGCUUUCCAGCUGAUGGCAAUGCCGAAGGUGGGGAUUGGUCCUAUCAGUCUUGGGGUUGAUUUUUUCAGCAUAGGUGGUUCUCUGAUGUAUUUGAUGUUUUCUUCUUUUUAAUAUAAUUUGAUAAAAAGUAGAAGUAGAAAAUUUUGGUCAUAAA